AGGAAAAGAAACUAACAAGGAUUCCCCUAGUAACUGCGAGUGAAGCGGGAAAAGCUCAAAUUUAAAAUCUGACGGUCCCUGUGGCUGUCCGAGUUGUAAUCUAGAGAAGCGUUAUCCGCGCUGGACCGUGUAUAAGUCUCCUGGAACGGAGCGUCAUAGAGGGUGAGAAUCCCGUCUUCUACAUGGACUCCCAGGGCUUUUGUGAUGCGCUCUCGAAGAGUCGAGUUGUUUGGGAAUGCAGCUCUAAAUGGGUGGUAAAUUCCAUCUAAAGCUAAAUAUUGGCGAGAGACCGAUAGCGAACAAGUACCGUGAGGGAAAGAUGAAAAGAACUUUGGAAAGAGAGUUAAACAGUACGUGAAAUUGUUGAAAGGGAAACGCUUGAAGUCAGUCGCGUUGUCCAGAAAUCAGUCUUGCAUUCCUGCCUGGCGUACUUUCUGGUUCUAACGGGUCAGCAUCAAUUUUGACCGGUGGAAAAAGGCUGGGGGAAUGUGACAUCCUUUUGGAUGUGUUAUAGCCCUCGGUUGUAUACAUCGGUUGGGAUUGAGGAACUCAGCACGCCCCCGGGGUUGUGUUUUAGGAUGCUGGCAUAAUGGCUUUAAUCGACCC
rnacentral:rRNA from 1 species